GUUGCAGGAACAAUUGGACCGGUUUAUGAAAAUGAACGAAGACUUGCGCCAUAAAAUGUCUGUGCUCCAAGCACAGCUUAAAAGCUCUCUGCAGAGAAAAACUGAACUGGAAGCCUUGCUACAGGAAAAGCAAAAAGAAAAUGUUACCAUGUCUAAAACCUGUGUUGUAGCCCCUGGUAUCCCAGACAGCAACAUGCAGUGAUGAAGAGGAUAACACUUGGAUGCAGACACCUGGCACAGACUGUGUGGUUUCCAAGCCCUCAGAUUCCAUAAUCAGGAGUUUGUUUGGCAUGUGGUACAGCAAGCCGACAGCUGAUACAGAACCCUGGGAGAUUAUUAGUCCAAAGGAAAUCAACCAAGAACAAAAGUUGGAAACAUCUAAUGAAAAUGACUGACUUUGAUAAUAACCCAAUUGACUUGUACUGAAAUCCUGAAUUCUUAGCACUUGUAAUUGGGAUGAACAACUGUAGCUCCUGGAGAUCUGUCCUCGAAUUUACAGUGUUGCAUUUCUCAUCUGCCUCUGAACAUGAUUAAAUGUGAUCCUACCUACUAUAUUCAAAUCCCAUCAUGCCAUUAAACAGUGGGCUGCCCAGGGCCACAGAUUACUCCCACAACAUGUGAAAAAUGUAUAUAUAUCUACCCACAUAAAAAAGUGGAAAUAUAUUUUUCUAACACUA